rnacentral:lncRNA from 1 species
GUUUUGAAAAGGCUUUAUCACAUUCAUUACAUUUGAAGGGUUUCUCUCCGGUAUGUGUUCUUCUAUGAAUGUGAAGAUUAGUGUGUUGUGAAAAGGCUUUAUCACAUUGAUUACAUUUGUAAGGCUUCUCUCCAGUAUGUGUUCUUUUAUGAUUUUGGAGGUGAAAGUGUUUUGAAAAGGCUUUAUCACAUUCAUCACAUUUGAAGGGUUUCUCUCCAGUAUGUGUGCUUCUAUGAAUUUGGAGAUGACCGUAUUGGGAAAAGGCUUUAUCACAUUGAUUACAUUUGUAGGGUUUUUCUCCAGUAUGCAUUCUUAUAUGUGUUUGGAGACUACGUUUCUGUGAAAAGGCUUUAUCACAUUCAUUACAUAUGAAGGGUUUCUCUCCAGUAUGAAUUCUUUCAUGCCUUUUAAGAUGACUGGGCGUUGCAAAUCCUUUACCACAUUGAUUACAUUCAUAGGGUUUCUGUCCAGUUUGUGUUCUUUUAUGUACUCGGAGACUUGUGUAAGGUAAAAAAUCUUUGACACAGUGAAUAACUACAGAGGGGAUCUUUUCUGUAUGAAUCCUUUCAUGCCUUUGGGCAUGACUGUGAUCAUGUAAAGCAAAGGCUUUACCACAUUGAGUAUAUUCAGAGGGUUUCUCUGCACUCUGACUCCUUUCACACCUGA